rnacentral:rRNA from 1 species
GACGAACGCUGGCGGCGUGCCUAACACAUGCAAGUCGAACGAGGUCCAAGGGAGCUUGCUCCCUGAAGACCUAGUGGCGAACGGGUGAGUAACACGUGAGAAACCUGCCCUCGAGUGGGGAAUAACCCGGGGAAACCCGGGCUAAUACCGCAUACGCUCCUCUGGUCGCAUGGCCGGAGGAGGAAAGUUUUUCGCUCAAGGAGGGUCUCGCGGCCUAUCAGCUUGUGGGCGGGGUAACGGCCCAACAAGGCCACGACGGGUAGCUGGUUUGAGAAAACGAUCAGCCACACUGGGACGGAGACACGGCCCAGACCCCUACGGGAGGCAGCAGUGGGGAAUCUUGCGCAAUGGGCGAAAGCCUGACGCAGCACCGCCGCGUGCGGGAUGACGGCCUUCGUGGUUGUAAACCGCUUUCAGCAGGGACGAAAAUGACGGAACCUGCAAAAGAAGCUCCGGCUAACUACGUGCCAGCAGCCGCGGUAA